GCGGAAGUGGCGGAAUUGGCAGACGCGCAUGGUUCAGGGCCAUGUGGGAGCAAUCUCAUGGGGGUUCAACUCCCCCCUUCCGCA
rnacentral:tRNA from 1 species